AUUUAUAUAGUUUAAAAAAAACUUUAUAUUUUCAUUAUAAAAAUAGAAAAUUUUCUUAUAAAUA
rnacentral:tRNA from 1 species